UCGGGAAUUUUGGGCAAUGGGCGAAAGCCUGACCCAGCAACGCCGCGUGAAGGAUGAAAUCCCUCGGGAUGUAAACUUCGCAAGAUUGGGAAGAAUUAGUAGGGGUUAAUACCCCCUAUGAUGACGGUACCUUUUGUAAGCUCCGGCUAACUCCGUGCCAGCAGCCGCGGUAAUACGGGGGGAGCAAGCGUUGUUCGGAUUUACUGGGCGUAAAGGGCGCGUAGGCGGUCAGCACAAGUCAGUUGUGAAAUCUCCGGGCUUAACUCGGAAAGGUAAACUGAUACUGUGCGACUAGAGUGCAGAAGGGGCAACUGGAAUUCUCGGUGUAGCGGUGAAAUGCGUAGAUAUCGAGAGGAACACCUGCGGCGAAGGCGGGUUGCUGGGCUGACACUGACGCUGAGGCGCGAAAGCCAGGGGAGCAAACGG
rnacentral:rRNA from 1 species